GGGCCCGCACAAGUAGUGGAGCAUGUGGUUUAAUUCGAAGAUACGCGCAGAACCUUACCAACACUUGACAUGUUCGUCGCGACUUUAAGAGAUUAAAGUUUUCGGUUCGGCCGGACGAAACACAGGUGCUGCAUGGCUGUCGUCAGCUCGUGUCGUGAGAUGUUGGGUUAAGUCCCGCAACGAGCGCAACCCUCACUUUUAGUUGCCAUCAUUUAGUUGGGCACUCUGAAAGAACUGCCAGUGAUAAGCUGGAGGAAGGUGGGGAUGACGUCAAGUCCUCAUGGCCCUUACGUGUUGGGCUACACACGUGCUACAAUGGUAUCUACAACAGGAAGCGAAACGGCGACGUUAAGCAAAUCCUUAAAAGAUACCUCAGUUCGGAUUGCACUCUGCAACUCGAGUGCAUGAAGCUGGAAUUACUAGUAAUCGUGGAU
rnacentral:rRNA from 1 species